CGCAGCGUCCUCGCUUACACAGUAUGGCCGGCGACAUUAGCUAGCGCUCGCUCUAUGCUCUUCUCUGUAACGGGAACCAGCGGAGUAAAAGAGACUGAACAGCAUCUGCCUCUAUUUCCAACACAGACUCACGUUCAACUUUCGCACGAGAGAAAAAAAAAGCCGGGAAAAAUUUUAUUAAUUUUUUUUAAAAAGUUAAUAUAAAAUUAUAACAAGCAAAAAAAGAACCACACGCACGCAAAAAAUAACAAAAAACAAAAAAACAAAAAAACCUCCUGAACUUUAAAGAAGCAGCAGGAACAACCCGCAGCGGCGGAGGCGGCGGCGGCGGGAGAAGAGAUUUAAUUUAGUUGAUUUUCUGUGGUUGUUGGUUGUUCGCUUGUCUCACAGUGAUGGAAGCUGCACACUUCUUCGAAGGGACCGAGAAGCUGCUGGAGGUUUGGUUCUACCGGCAGCAGCCAGACGACGGCAAAGGAUCUGGGGAUCUCCGCACCAUCCCAAGGUUUGAGUGGGACAAACUUUUGGAGAAUGUGCAUUGUUUAAUCAUAAGUGUGACAAAAACUGACAAGCAGGAAGCUUAUGUACUCAGUGAGAGUAGCAUGUUUGUCUCCAAGAGACGUUUCAUUUUGAAGACAUGUGGUACCACCCUCUUACUGCAAGCACUGGUCCCCCUGUUGGAGCUUGCUAGGGAGUACAGUGGGUUUGACUCAAUUCAAAGCUUCUUUUAUUCUCGUAAGAAUUUCAUGAAGCCUUCCCACCAGGAGUACCCACACAGGAAUUUCCAGGAAGAAGUAGAAUUCCUUAAUGAAAUUUUCCCAAAUGGAGCAGCAUAUUGUAUGGGGCGUAUGAAUUCUGAUUGCUGGUACUUGUACACUCUGGAUUUUCCAGAGAGUCGAGUCAUUAAUCAGCCAGAUCAGACACUGGAAAUUCUGAUGAGUGAGCUUGACCCAGCAGUUAUGGACCAGUUCUACAUGAAAGAUGGUGUUACUGCAAAUGAUGUCACUCGUGUGAGUGGAAUUCGUGACCUGAUACCAGGUUCUGUCAUUGAUGCUACAAUGUUCAAUCCUUGUGGGUAUUCAAUGAAUGGAAUGAAAUCGGAUGGAACUUAUUGGACUAUUCACAUCACUCCAGAACCAGAAUUUUCUUAUGUUAGCUUUGAAACUAACAUAGGUCAGACCUCUUACGAUGACCUGAUCAGGAAAGUAGUGGAAAUUUUCAAGCCUGGAAAAUUUGUGACCACCCUCUUUGUAAAUCAGAGUUCUAAAUGUCGCACAGUGUUUUCUUCGGCCCAAAAGAUUGAAGGGUUUAAACGUCUUGAUCGCCAGAUUGCUCAGUUCAAUGAUUACAAUUUCGUUUUUACCAGUUUUGCUAAGAAUCGUCAGCAACAGCAGAGUUGAUUAAGAAAAAUGAAGAAAAAACGCAAAAAGAGAACACAAAUAGAAGGUGGUGGCAGCUUUCUAGUUAAUGAUACAGGGGGCCAUGCUUUCCAUACCCACCACCUUGUAGUUUCGGAAAGCCCUAGAUGUAAUCAUAGUAUAAUCAUUUUGAAUUGUAUGCAUUAUUAUAUCAAGGAGUUAGAUAUCUUGCAUGACUGCUCUCUUCUGUGUUUAGGUAUUCUAUGCCACUCUUGCUGUGAACUUGAAGUGCAUGUAGAGAAAAACUUUUACUGUAUGAGACUUUACAACACUUGUAAAAACAAUUCAAUUAGGAUUAUGCACGGUGUAAUUUUUCUCCAGGUAUCACCAAAAAUCCCCCACAGACAAGGCUUUCGUCCUCAUUAGGUGUUGGCCUCAGCCUAAAUCAUCUGGGACUGUUCUGUUAAAUUACUGCCAGAAAUUUUUUGUGGGCAGUUUCUUCCAAUUUCUAGACCACAUUUUUCUCUAUUAAUUCUAACGAAAUUAAUGACUAAUUUUAAACACAAAAGUUUCUUUGCACUUGAGAAAUUAGUAACUUUACCUUCUUAAUGAAAAUUAAUGAUUAUUAGAACUGAUCAUUUUAUUAUAUAAAAAUUUUGAGUAUUGGAACAUUACUUUUGCUCCCUGUAUCUUUAGUUCUUUAAGCUCAGUGAUUUCCCCCUCCCCCUUCAUAAAAUGAGCAAUAUACUGUUGCACUGAGUUUAACAUUAGCCUUUCACCUUUUAGGGGAAGAAGCUUCCUCCAGAUCUUAAUUCAUGUCAAGGACUGCACAAAAAGACUUGCAAGAUCCUGGGGAAGCAGUGAAUAAGGAGGUAGGUAGAAGGUAAAACAAGAAGCAAAGUCCAUAGCAGAUGAAAGGACCAGACUAGCACCCAGAACCGAACUACCCGAGUGCAGCAAAGGGCCUCCUUCAUCUUACCUGCAGCCUCUGGGAAAAGGGACAGAUCCCAACCUAAGCAGACUGCCUGGAUCCAGAACCUAGGCAGCUGUGGCCUAAACCAUAUCAGAAGCUAAAACCUGAGGAUUACUGCAGGAGGGGGUGUCCCAAGUUCUAAUUACCACACAAAUAAUCAAAAGGCUAGAGUGUGGGAGGGAGUAUACCCCUACAUACAAACAACCACCUGUCCCCCCCAAUACAGAAACUGACUGGAGAUGGGAAUAAACCUAUCCAACAAAAAAAUUUCCCAUGGAUUGAGAGAAAUCCAAAUAGUAAAGAAAGUACAAAAUGUAAAAUUGUAAUGAUAAAAUAGAAGUUAAGAGGAAAGCAUUAGUAAGGAAAGUUAGCGGCUUAGAACAAUAAUAUUAGGCAAACCUUACUGAGGAACUCCUCCACCUCCCCCAAACUGGAAGAGGCCAAUCAAAGAGAAACAACAGUGAGGCAGGAAGAAACGUUCAAACAGAUGCAAAGUGCGGCUAGUUUGUAUAGUAGAUAAAACACUGACCCUAGAGUAAAAUGUGGGCAAGUCACUUAACUCUUCCCUUCCCUCCCCCCCCCCCCAUACUGAAAAAUAUAUGUACCAUCAAAAAUAUAUCUAGAAAACAAUUUGAGAUGAUUUUAAAAAUCAUCAGAUUACCUGAAUGAUCAAAAGGAAACCAAACAGGAUUGGAUGGAUUUAUAAGUGAGUGAAUUCUGUCAUUCAAAGGAAAAUUAAUUGUAAUACUACAUAAAAUGUUGGUUAAACUAAGCUCUUUUCCAAACUAAUAUAAAUAUGAUCUUAAUUUAAAAAAAAAAAGCAGGGAAAGACAAGGCAAAAAAAAGUUAAUUCUUAAUACUGGUGCAAAAUUAUUCAAACUCUUUAAGUUUAAAGGUUACAAAAACAUCAAAGAUACAGUAAGCUGCACCCAGUGAAAACUCUGGGAGAUGACCAUUACAUAGAAUUCCCAAUCCCUCUAUUUUUGUCCCCCUGCAUUUUUGACGUCCUUCACAGGCUAAUUGUACACUAUUUCAAAGUCCGAUUCUUUUUACAGCAAAAUAACUGUCUGGACAUGUAUACUUAUUUUGUAUUUAAUUUAUACUUUAACAUAUUUAACAUGUAUUGGUCAACCUCCCAUCUGGGGGAGCGGGUGGGGGGAAGAAGGGGAAAAAUUGGAACAAAAGGUUUAGCUGUAAAAUUACCCGUGCAUAUAACUUGUAAAUAAAAAGCUAUUUAAAAAAAAAAAAAAAAAAGAUACAGUAUGAACAGGUACAGGUUAGAUUUAUUCCAGGAAAACAGUUGGUUCAAUAUGAGGGAAAAAAGUAUGGUGUACUAAGAAUAAAAUAGCCAUAUGAUUACAUUAAUAGAUACAUAAAUAAAUCCAAUGGAUUUAAAUGGAAAGCAUAGGAAUAAAUUUUCCCUAAGAUGAGUAGUAUCAAAAUCAAGCAAAUACAUAUAAUGGAGAAAAGUUUGAGACCUUUCCAAUAAGAAGGAAAUGAAAUAAUGUCUGCUUUAAUGAUGACUAUUUAAUAUAGUGCCAUAAAUAUUAGGUAUUUAGAAAGAGUUUUUAGAAACUUCCUAAAGAUUCAUCUAAAAUUAAUUGAAACAACUUCAGCAAAGUUUUGGUAUAUAAAAUUAACUCACAAAUCAUUCACAUUUCUGUAUCUUAAACAGCAAAACCUAGCAGGAAAAGAAAAUAUGCAAAUAUUUAAGAGUUUGCAAAAUGUUUAGGAGUAUAAUUACCAAGGCAAACAUAAGAAUAUAUAUGAGUCCUCCUCCAUGUAAGUAGGAGAACCAGAGCAAGAGGAAAAAGUAGAGGUUAUGAACAAUUAAUGUAAGGAUACUCCAAAUCAUUAAUAGAGAAAUACAGUACCUUGACGUUUGACCUCAUACCAUUAGAUUAGUAGUAAGAAAAUUUUUUAAGAAGAAAGAAAAUGACAAAAGUUAGAGGGCUUGUAGGAAAAGAAAGGGUAUCAGUGUAGCUAUCUGUUAAUAAGUUUGAUAAUUUUGCAAAAGCAAUCUGGAACUCUGCCUUCUAUGUUUCUAAAUUGUGCAUGCCUUUUUUAUCCAAUGAUAUAUUACUACUAAUCCAAUACUGAAAAAAAAAUCAAAGAAAAGUACCUAUAAUAAAUAAAAAUAUUUGUAGUAGCUUGUUUUUUAAGUGACUAAGCAUUUGAAACU